AUGGUUAAGUUAGAAAGGGCGCACGGUGAAUGCCUUGGCACUAGGAGCCGAUGAAGGACGGGACUAACACCGAUAUGCUUCGGGGAGCUGUAAGUGAGCUUUGAUCCGGAGAUUUCCGAAUGGGGAAACCCACUGUUCGUAAUGGAACAGUAUCUUUAUCUGAAUACAUAGGAUAUUGAAGGCAGACCCGGGGAACUGAAACAUCUAAGUACCCGGAGGAAGAGAAAGCAAAUGCGAUUUCCUGAGUAGCGGCGAGCGAAACGGAAUUAGCCCAAACCAAGAGGCUUGCCUCUUGGGGUUGUAGGACACUCUAUACGGAGUUACAAAGGAACGAAGUAAAUGAAGCGACCUGGAAAGGUCCGUCGAAGAAGGUAACAACCCUGUAGUUGAAACUUCGUUCCCUCUUGAGUGGAUCCUGAGUACGGCGGAACACGUGAAAUUCCGUCGGAAGCUGGGAGGACCAUCUCCCAAGGCUAAAUACUACCUAGUGACCGAUAGUGAACCAGUACCGUGAGGGAAAGGUGAAAAGCACCCCGGAAGGGGAGUGAAAGAGAUCCUGAAACCGUGUGCCUACAAGUAGUCAGAGCCCGUUAACGGGUGAUGGCGUGCCUUUUGUAGAAUGAACCGGCGAGUUACGAUCCCAUGCAAGGUUAAGCUGAUAAGGCGGAGCCGUAGCGAAAGCGAGUCUGAAUAGGGCGUUUAGUAUGUGGUUGUAGACCCGAAACCAGGUGAUCUACCCAUGUCCAGGGUGAAGUUCAGGUAACACUGAAUGGAGGCCCGAACCCACGCACGUUGAAAAGUGCGGGGAUGAGGUGUGGGUAGCGGAGAAAUUCCAAUCGAACCUGGAGAUAGCUGGUUCUCUCCGAAAUAGCUUUAGGGCUAGCCUCAUGUUGUGAGAGUCUUGGAGGUAGAGCACUGAUUGGACUAGGGGCCCCCAACGGGUUACCGAAUUCAGUCAAACUCCGAAUGCCAAAGACUUAUCCAUGGGAGUCAGACUGCGAGUGAUAAGAUCCGUAGUCAAAAGGGAAACAGCCCAGACCACCAGCUAAGGUCCCCAAGUAUACGUUAAGUGGAAAAGGAUGUGGAGUUGCUUAGACAACCAGGAUGUUGGCUUAGAAGCAGCCACCAUUUAAAGAGUGCGUAAUAGCUCACUGGUCGAGUGACUCUGCGCCGAAAAUGUACCGGGGCUAAACGUAUCACCGAAGCUGUGGAUUGACAUCUUAGAUGUCAGUGGUAGGAGAGCGUUCUAAGUGCCGUGAAGUCAGACCGUAAGGACUGGUGGAGCGCUUAGAAGUGAGAAUGCCGGUAUGAGUAGCGAAAGACAAGUGAGAAUCUUGUCCACCGAAUGCCUAAGGUUUCCUGAGGAAGGCUCGUCCGCUCAGGGUUAGUCGGGACCUAAGCCGAGGCUGAAAAGCGUAGGCGAUGGCCAACAGGUUGAUAUUCCUGUACCACCUCCCCGCCGUUUGAGUAAUGGGGGGACGCAGUAGGAUAGGGUAAGCGCGCUGCUGGAUAUGCGCGUUCAAGCAGUUAGGCUGAUGAGUAGGCAAAUCCGCUCAUCAUAAAGGCUGAGCUGUGAUGACGAGGGAAUUAUAGUACCGAAGUUCCUGAUUCCACACUGCCAAGAAAAGCCUCUAGCGAGGCGGGAGGUGCCCGUACCGCAAACCGACACAGGUAGGCGAGGAGAGAAUCCUAAGGUGAUCGAGAGAACUCUCGUUAAGGAACUCGGCAAAAUGACCCCGUAACUUCGGGAGAAGGGGUGCUCUGGUAGGGUGUAUAGCCCGAGAGAGCCGCAGUGAAUAGGCCCAGGCGACUGUUUAGCAAAAACACAGGUCUCUGCGAAGCCGCAAGGCGAAGUAUAGGGGCUGACGCCUGCCCGGUGCUGGAAGGUUAAGAGGAGGGGUUAUCCUUUGGGAGAAGCUCUGAAUCGAAGCCCCAGUAAACGGCGGCCGUAACUAUAACGGUCCUAAGGUAGCGAAAUUCCUUGUCGGGUAAGUUCCGACCCGCACGAAAGGCGUAACGAUCUGGGCACUGUCUCAACGAGAGACUCGGUGAAAUUAUAGUACCUGUGAAGAUGCAGGUUACCCGCGACAGGACGGAAAGACCCCGUGGAGCUUUACUGUAGCCUGAUAUUGAAUUUUGGUACAGCUUGUACAGGAUAGGUAGGAGCCUGAGAAGCCGGAGCGCUAGCUUCGGUGGAGGCGUCGGUGGGAUACUACCCUGGCUGUAUUGAAAUUCUAACCCGCGGCCCUGAUCGGGCCGGGAGACAGUGUCAGGUGGGCAGUUUGACUGGGGCGGUCGCCUCCUAAAAUGUAACGGAGGCGCCCAAAGGUUCCCUCAGAAUGGUUGGAAAUCAUUCGUAGAGUGUAAAGGCACAAGGGAGCUUGACUGCGAGACCUACAAGUCGAGCAGGGACGAAAGUCGGGCUUAGUGAUCCGGUGGUUCCGCAUGGAAGGGCCAUCGCUCAACGGAUAAAAGCUACCCCGGGGAUAACAGGCUUAUCUCCCCCAAGAGUCCACAUCGACGGGGAGGUUUGGCACCUCGAUGUCGGCUCAUCGCAUCCUGGGGCUGUAGUCGGUCCCAAGGGUUGGGCUGUUCGCCCAUUAAAGCGGUACGCGAGCUGGGUUCAGAACGUCGUGAGACAGUUCGGUCCCUAUCCGUCGUGGGCGUAGGAAAUUUGAGAGGAGCUGUCCUUAGUACGAGAGGACCGGGAUGGACACACCGCUGGUGUACCAGUUGUCUUGCCAAAGGCAUCGCUGGGUAGCUAUGUGUGGACGGGAUAAGUGCUGAAAGCAUCUAAGCAUGAAGCCCCCCUCAAGAUGAGAUUUCCCAUAGCGCAAGCUAGUAAGAUCCCUGAAAGAUGAUCAGGUUGAUAGGUCAGAGGUGGAAGCGUGGCGACAUGUGUAGCUGACUGAUACUAAUCGAUCGAGGACUUAACCAAAC
rnacentral:rRNA from 1 species